rnacentral:rRNA from 1 species
GAUGAACGCUAGCUACAGGCUUAACACAUGCAAGUCGAGGGGCAGCAUGAAGUUUGCUUGCAAACUUUGAUGGCGACCGGCGGAUGAGUGAGUAACGCGUAUCCAACCUGCCCCCUUCCCGGGCACAGCCCUUGGAAACGAGGAUUAACUCCCGAUGGCGUCGCCUUAACGCAUGUUUCGGCGACCAAAUGUUUAAGGAAGGGGAUGGGGAUGCGUCCCAUUAGCUUGUUGGCGGGGUAACGGCCCACCAAGGCUCCGAUGGGUAGGGGUUCUGAGAGGAAGGUCCCCCACACUGGAACUGAGACACGGUCCAGACUCCUACGGGAGGCAGAAGUGAGGAAUAUUGGUCAAUGGAGGCAACUCUGAACCAGCCAAGUAGCGUGAGGGACGACUGCCCUACGGGUUGUAAACCUCUUUUGUCGGGGAAUAAACCGCGCCACGUGUGGCGCUCUGCAUGUACCCGCAGAAUAAGGACCGGCUAAUUCCGUGCCAGCAGCCGCGGUAAGAC